AUCUCCUGUGGCGAAAUGGGUUAGUGCGUCUGUCUGUAAACCAGAAGGUUGGUAGUUCGAGCCCACUCAGGGAUG